GAUGAACGCUGGCGGCGUGCCUAAUACAUGCAAGUCGAGCGAACGGACGAGAAGCUUGCUUCUCUGAUGUUAGCGGCGGACGGGUGAGUAACACGUGGAUAACCUACCUAUAAGACUGGGAUAACUUCGGGAAACCGGAGCUAAUACCGGAUAAUAUUUUGAACCGCAUGGUUCAAAAGUGAAAGACGGUCUUGCUGUCACUUAUAGAUGGAUCCGCGCUGCAUUAGCUAGUUGGUAAGGUAACGGCUUACCAAGGCAACGAUGCAUAGCCGACCUGAGAGGGUGAUCGGCCACACUGGAACUGAGACACGGUCCAGACUCCUACGGGAGGCAGCAGUAGGGAAUCUUCCGCAAUGGGCGAAAGCCUGACGGAGCAACGCCGCGUGAGUGAUGAAGGUCUUCGGAUCGUAAAACUCUGUUAUUAGGGAAGAACAUAUGUGUAAGUAACUGUGCACAUCUUGACGGUACCUAAUCAGAAAGCCACGGCUAACUACGUGCCAGCAGCCGCGGUAAUACGUAGGUGGCAAGCGUUAUCCGGAAUUAUUGGGCGUAAAGCGCGCGUAGGCGGUUUUUUAAGUCUGAUGUGAAAGCCCACGGCUCAACCGUGGAGGGUCAUUGGAAACUGGAAAACUUGAGUGCAGAAGAGGAAAGUGGAAUUCCAUGUGUAGCGGUGAAAUGCGCAGAGAUAUGGAGGAACACCAGUGGCGAAGGCGACUUUCUGGUCUGUAACUGACGCUGAUGUGCGAAAGCGUGGGGAUCAAACAGGAUUAGAUACCCUGGUAGUCCACGCCGUAAACGAUGAGUGCUAAGUGUUAGGGGGUUUCCGCCCCUUAGUGCUGCAGCUAACGCAUUAAGCACUCCGCCUGGGGAGUACGACCGCAAGGUUGAAACUCAAAGGAAUUGACGGGGACCCGCACAAGCGGUGGAGCAUGUGGCUUAAUUCGAAGCAACGCGAAGAACCUUACCAAAUCUUGACAUCCUUUGACAACUCUAGAGAUAGAGCCUUCCCCUUCGGGGGACAAAGUGACAGGUGGUGCAUGGUUGUCGUCAGCUCGUGUCGUGAGAUGUUGGGUUAAGUCCCGCAACGAGCGCAACCCUUAAGCUUAGUUGCCAUCAUUAAGUUGGGCACUCUAAGUUGACUGCCGGUGACAAACCGGAGGAAGGUGGGGAUGGCGUCAAAUCAUCAUGCCCCUUAUGAUUUGGGCUACACACGUGCUACAAUGGACAAUACAAAGGGCAGCGAAACCGCGAGGUCAAGCAAAUCCCAUAAAGUUGUUCUCAGUUCGGAUUGUAGUCUGCAACUCGACUACAUGAAGCUGGAAUCGCUAGUAAUCGUAGAUCAGCAUGCUACGGUGAAUACGUUCCCGGGUCU
rnacentral:rRNA from 1 species